rnacentral:rRNA from 1 species
AUUGAACGCUGGCGGCAGGCCUAACACAUGCAAGUCGAGCGGAUGAAGGGAGCUUGCUCCUGGAUUCAGCGGCGGACGGGUGAGUAAUGCCUAGGAAUCUGCCUGGUAGUGGGGGAUAACGUCCGGAAACGGGCGCUAAUACCGCAUACGUCCUGAGGGAGAAAGUGGGGGAUCUUCGGACCUCACGCUAUCAGAUGAGCCUAGGUCGGAUUAGCUAGUUGAUGGGGUAAAGGCCUACCAAGGCGACGAUCCGUAACUGGUCUGAGAGGAUGAUCAGUCACACUGGAACUGAGACACGGUCCAGACUCCUACGGGAGGCAGCAGUGGGGAAUAUUGGACAAUGGGCGAAAGCCUGAUCCAGCCAUGCCGCGUGUGUGAAGAAGGUCUUCGGACUGUAAAGCACUUUAAGUUGGGAGGAAGGGCAGUAAGUUAAUACCUUGCUGUUUUGACGUUACCAACAGAAUAAGCACCGGCUAACUUCGUG